UACGUAGGGUGCAAGCGUUGUCCGGAAUUAUUGGGCGUAAAGAGCUCGUAGGCGGUUUGUCGCGUCUGCUGUGAAAACUCGGGGCUUAACUCCGAGCCUGCUUCCGAUACGGGCAGACUAGAGGUAGGCAGGGGAGAGCGGAACUCCUGGUGUAGCGGUGGAAUGCGCAGAUAUCAGGAAGAACACCGGUGGCGAAGGCGGCUCUCUGGGCCUUACCUGACGCUGAGGAGCGAAAGCGUGGGUAGCGAACAGG
rnacentral:rRNA from 1 species